rnacentral:lncRNA from 1 species
ACUGUUGCAACUGGAGUCUACCCACACAACAGACCCUCUCCAUCUUCUUGCAGAAGAAGCAUGGCUGGAGACAGAACAGGGCUCAGCCCCCUGAACACAGGGGGUCUCUGGGAUACUCUCUCGCUGGCCCCCUGGACAGCACCGAGGAGUGGGCAGGGGUCUGCCUCAUCGAACCCCUAAUGACAGGGGGACGAAGGGACCAGGAGAAUCCCAUUGCUGCCUCACACUGCUGCUUGUUUUCUGAUCUUCAGAGAAAGAGCUUUAAAAGACCGAGGAAGAAGGCUCAGCAGGCACAAACUCUGUCCCAGAGAAGAUCCCCUGUCAAACAUGCCCUCCUUCGCUGACAAACAGCCUGUUUUGGGCACCAAAGCAGUCAUUUCCCUAGGGGCAACUAAGGACAUGAUAUCCAUGGUGACCCCAAUGUGGCAAAUGUCAGAAGCAGACGUUCCGGAUUUUUCUUGCACAACUUUGCACUUCCCAUCUCCAGUCUCCAGGCUUGUGGAAAUGGACAUGAAUAAAUGUUUUGUGAGUCAGCAGCUUCCAUGGUGAGUGUGGUUUGUGACAUGCAU